UAGAAUAAUUGCUUUUUAGUGUUUUUCAAGCAGGUUUCUCAUAAAGAGAAGCCCAC
ensembl:snRNA U7 U7 small nuclear RNA